GACGAACGCUGGCGGCGUGCUUAACACAUGCAAGUCGAACGAUGAAGCCAGCUUGCUGGUGGAUUAGUGGCGAACGGGUGAGUAACACGUGGGUGAUCUGCCCCAAACUUUGGGAUAAGCAUGGGAAACUGGGUCUAAUAACGAAUAUGACCGAUACUCGCAUGGGUGUUGGUGGAAAGCUCCGGCGGUUGGGGAUGGGCCCGCGGCCUAUCAGCUUGUUGGUGGGGUAAUGGCCUACCAAGGCGACGACGGGUAGCCGGCCUGAGAGGGCGACCGGCCACACUGGGACUGAGACACGGCCCAGACUCCUAUGGGAGGCAGCAGUGGGGAAUAUUGCACAAUGGGCGCAAGCCUGAUGCAGCGACGCCGCGUGAGGGAUGACGGCCUUCGGGUUGUAAACCGCUUUCACCAGGGACGAAGCGAAAGUGACGGUACCUGGAGAAGAAGCACCGGCCAACUACGUG
rnacentral:rRNA from 1 species